GAUGAAGAACGUAGUGAAAUGCGAUAAUUAAUGUGAAUUGCAGAAUUCAGUGAAUCAUCGAGUCUUUGAACGCACAUUGCGCCCCCUGGUAUUCCGGGGGGCAUGCCUGUCCGAGCGUCAUUGCUGCCAUCAAGCACGGCUUGUGUGUUGGGCUUCCGUCCCUGGCAACGGGGACGGGCCCAAAAGGCAGUGGCGGCACCAUGUCUGGUCCUCGAGCGUAUGGGGCUUUGUCACCCGCUCCCGUAGGUCCAGCUGGCAGCUAGCCUCGCAACCAAUCUUUUUAACCAGGUUGACCUCGGAUCAGGUAGGGAUACCCGCUGAACUUAAGCAUAUCAAUAAGCGGAGGA
rnacentral:misc_RNA from 1 species